rnacentral:rRNA from 1 species
UUCGAAAGGAACGCUAAUACCGCAUACGUCCUACGGGAGAAAGCAGGGGACCUUCGGGCCUUGCGCUAUCAGAUGAGCCUAGGUCGGAUUAGCUAGUUGGUGAGGUAAUGGCUCACCAAGGCGACGAUCCGUAACUGGUCUGAGAGGAUGAUCAGUCACACUGGAACUGAGACACGGUCCAGACUCCUACGGGAGGCAGCAGUGGGGAAUAUUGGACAAUGGGCGAAAGCCUGAUCCAGCCAUGCCGCGUGUGUGAAGAAGGUCUUCGGAUUGUAAAGCACUUUAAGUUGGGAGGAAGGGCAGUAAGUUAAUACCUUGCUGUUUUGACGUUACCGACAGAAUAAGCACCGGCUAACUCUGUGCCAGCAGCCGCGGUAAUACAGAGGGUGCAAGCGUUAAUCGGAAUUACUGGGCGUAAAGCGCGCGUAGGUGGUUUGUUAAGUUGGAUGUGAAAGCCCCGGGCUCAACCUGGGAACUGCAUCCAAAACUGGCAAGCUAGAGUACGGUAGAGGGUGGUGGAAUUUCCUGUGUAGCGGUGAAAUGCGUAGAUAUAGGAAGGAACACCAGUGGCGAA